ensembl:snRNA U6 U6 spliceosomal RNA
GUGCGCCAUUCAGCACCACAUAUACUAACUUUGAGAUAAUCCAGUGAAGAUUCCCAUGGUCCCUAAAUAAGGAAGACUUGCAAAUUUGUGAAAUAUUCUAUAUUUUU